CUUCAAUCAGGUCCGAAAUCCGUGCAUAUAAGGGAAUUGCUCCUGUGCUCCUUCGCUUUUCUGAGGCUUUUCUGCAGCUCGUUCAGCAUGUCUGGUCGCGGCAAAGGAGGCAAAGGCCUGGGUAAGGGUGGCGCUAAGCGCCACCGCAAGGUGCUGCGUGACAACAUCCAGGGCAUCACCAAGCCCGCCAUCCGCCGCCUGGCCCGCCGCGGCGGCGUCAAACGUAUUUCCGGCCUCAUCUACGAGGAGACGCGCGGGGUACUCAAGGUCUUUUUGGAGAACGUGAUCCGCGACGCCGUCACCUACACGGAGCACGCCAAGCGCAAGACGGUCACGGCCAUGGACGUGGUCUACGCGCUCAAGCGCCAGGGCCGCACGCUCUACGGCUUCGGCGGCUGAGCGUCCAGGUUUUCAUCUUCGCUUAAAAUCUCAACCAAAGGCCCUUUUCAGGGCCGCCCAUGGCUUUCCUUAAAAGAGCUGCCGUACCAGUUAAAACUAGGCAUUCGUCGUGUGUGUACCGUGACGCCGGCCUGUCACUUAGACUAACUACAGGCUUGCGGUACUUUCUCCAUUGAGUCUCUCUUUCUCCUUCUCAGAACAGAAUACAUAUUAUCUCCAUUUUGUAGAUGUGGAAGAAUGCCCUCAAGUUAUAAAUACAGGACAAAGAGACUUGAAGAAGAAAGAUCUGAAAUAGAACAUUAUCUGUUACACACACAAAUGGAAGUUUUGGAGAGCGUCAAAUGGAGAACAUUCUCUUCAGAGGAGUUAAUCCUUUUACCUGGAAAAAAUGCGACAGUACUAUUCACAUUUUGGGAUGGAUUCUUCUAAUGCAUCCCACCCCUGUUCUGGACUGUAUUUUGUGUGUGAAUAAAAUAUAAAU